rnacentral:lncRNA from 1 species
CCCCGUCUCCACAAAAAAUUAGCCAGGCACGGUAGCGCACUCCUGUAGUCCCAGCUACUCAGGAGGCUGAGGCAGGAGGAUUGCUUAAGCCCAGGAAUUCGAGGAUUCAAUGAGUUAAUGAUGGCACCACUGCAGCCCAGCCUGGGUGCCAGAGUGAGACCUGUUUUUAAGAGAAAGAAAAAUUGCAGCAAUGACAUGAUCUAAGGAUGUGCACGCAUGAACUGUCAUCUCUGAUUCACAGAGGGAGGAAUCUACACAUGUCCCAGGGGCCAUGGUGAAAAGGUGCAGUUAAUCUCCCCACUUGAAGUUAAAACCACCUUGGCUGGAGUUGGGGCAAAAAUCACGCUGCGUCUCGCUGCUGACUCCCAGGCUGGAAUACUCUGGCGUGAUCUUUGCUCACUGCAACCUCCACCGCCUGGGUUCAAGCGAUUCUCCUGCCUCAGCCUCCUGAGUAACUGGGACUACA